rnacentral:rRNA from 1 species
GAGUUUGAUCAUGGCUCAGGAUGAACGCUAGCGGCAGGCCUAAUACAUGCAAGUCGAACGGGUGUAGCAAUACACUAGUGGCGCACGGGUGCGUAACGCGUAACCAACCUGCCCUUGACUGGGGGAUAGCCCGCCGAAAGGCGGAUUAAUACCGCAUAAACCAACAGCCUGGCAUCAGGCAAUUGGUAAAGAUUUAUUGGUCAAGGAUGGGGUUGCGUGACAUUAGCUUGUUGGCGGGGUAACGGCCCACCAAGGCGACGAUGUCUAGGGGACCUGAGAGGGUGAUCCCCCACACUGGCACUGAGAUACGGGCCAGACUCCUACGGGAGGCAGCAGUAGGGAAUAUUGGGCAAUGGGCGAGAGCCUGACCCAGCCAUGCCGCGUGCCGGAUGAAGGCCUUGCCUUCUGGGUUGUAAACGGCUUUUCUCAGGGAAGAAAAAGACCAUGCGUGGUACACUGACGGUACCUGAGGAAUAAGCACCGGCUAACUCCGUGCCAGCAGCCGCGGUAAUACGGAGGGUGCAAGCGUUGUCCGGAUUUAUUGGGUUUAAAGGGUGCGUAGGUGGCCUUGUAAGUCCGUGGUGAAAGCCUCUCGCUUAACGAGAGAACUGCCAUGGAUACUGCAAGGCUUGAGUCCAGACGAGGUUGGCGGAAUGGAUGGUGUAGCGGUGAAAUGCAUAGAUACCAUCCAGAACCCCGAUUGCGUAGGCAGCUGACUAGGCUGGUACUGACACUGAGGCACGAAAGCGUGGGGAGCGAACAGGAUUAGAUACCCUGGUAGUCCACGCCGUAAACGAUGGAUACUCGUUGCUAGCGAUAUACAGUUAGUGACUUAGCGAAAGCGUUAAGUAUCCCACCUGGGGAGUACGCCCGCAAGGGUGAAACUCAAAGGAAUUGACGGGGGCCCGCACAAGUGGUGGAGCAUGUGGUUUAAUUCGAUGAUACGCGAGGAACCUUACCUAGGCUAGAAUGCGCGUGACCGGUUCAGAGAUGAACCUUUCCUUCGGGACACAAAGCAAGGUGCUGCAUGGC